rnacentral:rRNA from 1 species
AUACGGAGGAUGCGAGCGUUAUCCGGAUUUAUUGGGUUUAAAGGGAGCGUAGGUGGGAUAUUAAGUCAGCUGUGAAAGUUUGGGGCUCAACCUUAAAAUUGCAGUUGAUACUGGUUUCCUUGAGUACGGUACAGGUGGGCGGAAUUCGUGGUGUAGCGGUGAAAUGCUUAGAUAUCACGAAGAACUCCGAUCGCGAAGGCAGCUCACCGGGCCGGAACUGACACUGAUGCUCGAAAGUGCGGGUAUCAAACAGGAUUAGAUACCCUGGUAGUCCGCACAGUAAACGAUGAAUACUCGCUGUUUGCGAUACACGGUAAGCGGCCAAGCGAAAGCGUUAAGUAUUCCACCUGGGGAGUACGCCGGCAACGGUGAAACUCAAAUGAAUGGGCGGGG